rnacentral:rRNA from 2 species
UGGGGAAUUUUGGACAAUGGGCGCAAGCCUGAUCCAGCCAUGCCGCGUGAGUGAAGAAGGCCUUCGGGUUGUAAAGCUCUUUCGGCCGGGAAGAAAUCGUGGUCUCUAACAUAGGCCAUGGAUGACGGUACCGGACUAAGAAGCACCGGCUAACUACGUGCCAGCAGCCGCGGUAAUACGUAGGGUGCGAGCGUUAAUCGGAAUUACUGGGCGUAAAGCGUGCGCAGGCGGUUUUGUAAGACAGAUGUGAAAUCCCCGGGCUUAACCUGGGAACUGCGUUUGUGACUGCAAGGCUAGAGUACGGCAGAGGGGGGUGGAAUUCCUGGUGUAGCAGUGAAAUGCGUAGAGAUCAGGAGGAACACCGAUGGCGAAGGCAGCCCCCUGGGCCUGUACUGACGCUCAUGCACGAAAGCGUGGGGAGCAAACAGG